CUUGCCAGCCUUCCAUCCAUUUGAAGAACCAUAUCCUUCUACCCUUGUGCAUCUAGGGUAUCCACCAAUCUUAUCAUGACUGGCUCCUCCAGGUCUUGCAACAACCUUCCUUUCAAAAUCUUCCUCCUGCCAAAGAUGACAAACCUAUCCAUUUCCUCCUGCCAAAGAUGGUAAACCUUCAGUAACUUUUACCUAUUUUCCUUUCACUGGGGACCUAGUUCUUUUGGCUAAGGAGGGUUUAGCAGAUGUAGGUUUUGAAGACUUCUUU
rnacentral:lncRNA from 1 species